ensembl:lncRNA
GGAUGCUUCUUUCCAUGCAACUAACUAAUUAACAAAUACAACGUUAUGUUUGACCGGGACCCAUAAGGUCCACUAGGUUGUAUGCCACUAGGUUGUAUAAGGUUCUGUGAUUUUAAUUCAUCUAAAUUAAUCGUGAUCAUUGCAAAUCUCCUCUCCAGACCCCUGACAUGGAGGAUAACGAGACCACAUUACACACAACAUGAGCAGGAGCAGGAAGAAAGAUGGGGAGAGAGAGAGAGAGAUGGAUAGAGGGAGGCUGAGGUGAAAAGUGAAUGAGGCCCAUUGAAGUAUGGGGGAGCUGCAGGGGAGAGACUACAGAAGCAGGGCUUUAAGAGGAGCAGCAUGGCGCCCCUAAUCACACUUGAGUUACUGUAGUUCAUACUGCUGGGAGACAGUCAGCAACCUGCCUGCAGAUCUCUCUAUCUCUCUCCCACACACACACACACACACACACACAGCUUCUUACACUUAGGCUGUGUUUACACCGGCAGCCCAAUACAGGUCUUUUGACCAAGCGAAACGGAGAUCUUUUCACAUCAGAUCAUUUUCAGAGUGGAUCUGAUUGGUCAAAAGACCAAUUAGUGAAACAAAUAUCAGAAUUGGGUUGCCUGUGUGAAUGCGGCUAUAUACUGUUAGAAUGCUCCUAGAUUUGUAUAGUCAAAUGUUUUGCCGCAUGAUUUCUACACUGCUCUGAUAUGUGGGGUUGUGUCUGCUGUUUCAUAUCAUCUGUCUGUGUUCUGUUCCAGACCAGUCUCAGGAAAAGAGGGCGAACUCUGUUGCUGUGGCAGGGGCAGUGAUGGGGGCUGUCCUCGCCCUCUUCCUCAUAGCCGUCUUCACCAUCGUCAUCCUCACUGCACGGAAGACCUCGGCCCCAACGUACACAGACAAAGUGAUUGAUCUACCUCCGACACACAAGCCUCCUCCUCCCUACACAGAGAGACCGUCAGUCAUCCCUCUGGUUGUCCACACACCACAGGUGGCCUCCCUUUCACAGGCUCACAGGGCUGUGCGGCAGUUUGAGAUGGCAGAGAGAACACCUGCCAGGCUCACACCCCGGGAACCCCGAAGCCCCUCCCACCAGCCUCUGUCCUAUCAGGAGUGGGUGUGUCACCAGAACGGGGCGGAUCGUAUCUACAUCAACCACCGGGAACACUAUGUGUGACGGACACGUCCUAAACCUUCUAUGGACCUGUCAAUCAAUCACUCACCCUGCCCCACCCAUCACCAUGCAGGCUCACAGAUGCCAGCCUUUUCAAUGUGAAGAACCCAGGCAACGAAAUAGUUUAUGACUUGACCAAGCCUUCAUAGAUGAGUCUACUCCACAUUUAACAUAAUUUGAGAGCAGCAGUUAUCACAUGUAAGAAGCAAGACUAUUGAGGCCGAAGCAUAAACUGCUGAGUUUCUCUGAGGAACGACAACCCAAACACCCCUCCACUCCCCUUCUCCGAACCACCGCACACACACCUGUUCUGUUCCCAACCACAUCAAUGAACAGAAGAUAACAGCAUAGGGAAGAGCAGGAAGACAGAUUUGGUACAGUACCACAAAGUAACUAUUUAAAAUGGAACACUAAGCUCUGCUGUGUGCUGUAUAGGAGUGGAAUCAUAUGAAAACACCAUACUAAGCUCUAUGUAUAGCAGUUGAAUGUGUUACUAUGUCACUGUGGCUGUGUGAUAAUCCUGUGUACAGUUAUGCUCUUUGAAUUAGUUAGAACUAAUACUUUUUUUUAGGAUUGUGGUAAACACCAGGCAUAUCUUUGUACGGUUCUGGUAAACAUACAGCCAAUUAGGUAGGAUUCUAACUUCAUGGUAUAAGAACAGAAAUAGUAACAUUGUCUGAAGGACCGUGCACCAGGACAUCAGGAUCUGAACAGAGAUGGUAACAUUGUCUGAAGGACCGUGCACCAGAACAUCAGGAUCUGAACAGAGAUGGUAACAUUGUCUGAAGGACCAUGCACCAGGACAUCAGGAUCAAGCAUACCAGAUAGCAACAGUAUACCAGAUAGUAACAUAUAAUGACAUUCGCUGUACUCUAUCAUGUCAUUUAAAUGUUGUGAAAAGAUGAAUGUGGUUUAAUGCUUCGAGAAGUUAACUGAAUCAUAGAAAAAGGAAAUUUUUGCACUUGGAAUUGAAACAUAAAUCAUUCAUACAUCAGUGGAAAAAUCCGAUUUGUGUUAUUUCGCUGCAAUUUCGUAGAGGUCUUUCUAGCGCCAUUUAUAUAUUUGAAGGGGAUCUUCUCAACUGUUGAUGAUUUUGUGUUCUCAUUCUUCCAUUGUGAGUAGAUAAUAUAUAUGCAGUGUUUGUUUUUUACACAUUGGUCAGGGGUAGAGUUUUUUUAAACCAUCAUAUUUAUACAUUAUAGGUAGUCUGUGUACAUGACAACGUUUUUAUAUGGUCAAAUGUUCGGAAGAGCAGUCGCAGCCUUCGAGGCAUCUGCUAAGGACGGUAGCCACACAUAGCAGUGUGUUAAUGAGUUAGGCCUCUGUGCCUCUCCUCUCCUGUCCUGGUGGGGACCAGGGCUCUAGCUGAGCCAACCCACAAUAAGGCCAUUGUUUGUUUCCCU